GGCGGUUCUUGGUGAUGCACCUGGAAACAGGCUCCCUCCUCUCUGGUUCCCUGUGCAUAACCUGAGAACUGCA
rfam:Myotis lucifugus cont2.22843, whole genome shotgun sequence.